GUCUCGCGACGCGCUCGGGGUCACACCUACGUGGGAGGCGGGGUCUGGUCCGGUCGGCGGGAGAGGAAGAUCUAGUGUCUGGCAUGAGAUGCAUACAGUGGUCUUCCCACCUUGGAAACUGACUUCAGGAAUGCGGUGGCCUGACCAGCUAGUGUAGCGCGGCACUGGCGCUGAGGGCCAUGCACCCCGAGCAGGUGCUUGCUCAAAGACUGAAGCUUUCAGUGGAGACGGCGUGAGGCACAGAAUCAACUUCAGGAAAAGACAUGGAAAGUGUGCGUCCUAUUUAUGAAGGUCAUUCUGGUCCAGACGCCGUCAACUGCAUACAGGAUCCACAUUUAUUGCCCUAGUAUAAAUCUGGCUUUGUCAGUUGGUAAAAAUCAGUGUGACUGCAUGUGCUUUGCAUUUUCUCCGUCUGUCUCUCCUUCCACAUCGUUCACUGAACGCAUCCUUUAUGGACUAUCACAGGCAGGUAGAGAAUAUCAAAGUCUAUGUUUCAUAGUCUAAGCACGUAGGAACGAAUUUUAAUUGGAAGACAUUUAGAGCACAUCCAGUCUCUCACCACGAUCAUUUAAUCACAAAUAAUGCUUUUAGAUCAGUCGUUAGCAGUCAUUGUAAGUUAUAAAGUAUGAAAUGUGACAGCGAUUGUGCCACCCGUUCUGUUGUCUGGAUCCCCGACCUCACUGUGACAUGUCAGCCUCCCUCGUGGCCCUGGACUUGUGCUAAUGAAGACGCACCCCUUUGCUGUCCCUGAGAUUUGCACCCAGAAAAUCAACUACGACCACGGCUAUUGUCUUCCUCAUUGUCUAGAUUUGCUCAUUCUUCCUUCUCAAGUUACUGGACAGAUAACUCCAUUUCGUCAAUAGAAACAUAUGGAGAAUUGAGACACUUGGGAAGCAUGAACUUUUUCCAGUUUUUACUCACCUGCUGACUUAAGCGCGUAGUCAGCCCUCUGGACUUGGUCCUCUCUUAGCUUUUUAAGGAUGUAAUUCACCAAGUUUGACAUUUCCUGUACAAAUAAAUAUAAAA